rnacentral:tRNA from 1 species
AUCCUGGUAGCUUAACUUAAAAGCGUCGGCCUUGUAAGCCGGAGACUGGAGAUUUAAUUCUCCCUAAGAUA